UCACAUUGCAGUAUGGAUGUCAAGACCAACGUGGCCAAGGAAAUGAUAAUGCAGAGGGUCUAUAAUAGGAUUGAAACAGAUUUUUCGGCCUGUGUGGUUGUAUGGCAUCCAGCUGUGGGUCUGUGCAAGGAAAAGUAACAUAAAUCCAGAAAUUCCAGAACAAGGUAUUGAGGAAUGCUGUCAAUGUUCCAUACUUUGUCAGAAAAUCGGACCUCCACAACGACCGGCAGUUGGAAGCAGUCGAUGUGAUGAUCACAAAGGCUGCUAGAAACCAAGAAGAGACUCUACAUAAUCAUUAGAACAUCCAAGCUCUACACGUCAUUGACAACUAUACUACAGUCAGGAUACUGAAAAGGAAGAAGCCUACAGAUCUCGAGUAAAUGGAGCAUAGUGUAAGUGAGUAACAGUGCAUGGGAAUUGCUAAAUUAGACUGUGAAAGAGACAUAUACCCCUUUAGUGUCAAACUUUAACCUAUUAAUUUAAGCUAGAAUUGAACUGUUCAUUAACCAAAGUGUUAGAUUGCAUUCAAAUUACAGG